GUGGGGAAUAUUGGACAAUGGGCGAAAGCCUGAUCCAGUCAUGCCGCGUGUGUGAAGAAGGUCUUCGGAUUGUAAAGCACUUUAAGUUGGGAGGAAGGGCAGUAAGUUAAUACCUUGCUGUUUUGACGUUACCGACAGAAUAAGCACCGGCUAACUUCGUGCCAGCAGCCGCGGUAAUACGAAGGGUGCAAGCGUUAAUCGGAAUUACUGGGCGUAAAGCGCGCGUAGGUGGUUUUGUAAGUUGGAGGUGAAAUCCCCGGGCUCAACCUGGGAACUGCCUCCAAAACUGCAUGACUAGAGUACGGUAGAGGGUAGUGGAAUUUCCUGUGUAGCGGUGAAAUGCGUAGAUAUAGGAAGGAACACCAGUGGCGAAGGCGACUACCUGGACUGAUACUGACACUGAGGUGCGAAAGCGUGGGGAGCAAACAGGAUUAGAAACCCCUGUAGUCC
rnacentral:rRNA from 1 species